AUCGGUUUGCAAGUCAGACCUUAUGUAAGCAGUUUUAGUAAAGCAGUCCUCAGUUCAAGCGCUAUCAUAGAUAUCUCUUCUUCAUAGGUCUCACCUAAGUGCAUCAUAAGCUAUCUCGAAGGCAGGCCAUAAUACCCACAUUUUGUGGAAAAAAUUAUAAAGGAAAUAUCUGUGUCUAAUAAAAUGACUGGUUUAGUAAAAUGGUUUAACGCCGAUAAAGGUUUUGGUUUUAUCAGCCCUGCUGAUGGUAGCAAAGAUGUAUUCGUACAUUUCUCCGCUAUCCAGAGUGAUGAUUUCAAAACACUGUAUGAAGGUCAGAAUGUGGAAUUCUCUAUUGAGAAUGGCCAGAAAGGACCGUCAGCAGGUAAUGUCGUUAUACUGUAACCAGUAUGCGCCAAUGAAGCUUAUAACAGCAAUGAAAGUAUAUCU
rnacentral:sRNA from 1 species